rnacentral:rRNA from 1 species
AGAGCGAACGCUGGCGGCAGGCCUAACACAUGCAAGUCGAGCGCCCCGCAAGGGGAGCGGCAGACGGGAGAGUAACACGUGGGAACGUACCCUUCAGUUCGGAACAACCCAGGGAAACUUGGGCUAAUACCGAAUACGUCCGUAAGGAGAAAGAUUUAUCGCUGAAGGAUCGGCCCGCGUCUGAUUAGCUAGUUGGUGAGGUAACGGCUCACCAAGGCUACGAUCAGUAGCUGGUCUGAGAGGAUGAUCAGCCUCACUGGGACUGAGACACGGCCCAGACUCCUACGGGAGGCAGCAGUGGGGAAUAUUGGACAAUGGGCGCAAGCCUGAUCCAGCCAUGCCGCGUGGGUGAUGAAGGCCCUAGGGUUGUAAAGCCCUUUCGGCGGGGAAGAUAAUGACGGUACCCGCAGAAGAAGCCCCGGCUAACUUCGUGCCAGCAGCCGC